rnacentral:rRNA from 1 species
CCUACGGGGGGCUGCAGUGGGGAAUAUUGCGCAAUGGGCGAAAGCCUGACGCAGCGACGCCGCGUGAGGGAUGAAGGUCUUCGGAUCGUAAACCUCUGUCAGCAGGGAAGAACGGUCACUGUGCUAAUCAGCAGUGAAUUGACGGUACCUGCAAAGGAAGCACCGGCUAACUCCGUGCCAGCAGCCGCGGUAAUACGGAGGGUGCGAGAGUUAAUCGGAAUUACUGGGCGUAAAGCGCUCGUAGGCGGUAUGUCAAGUCAAGGGUGAAAUCCCCGCGCUCAACGUGGGAACUGCAUUUGAAACUGGCAAGCUGGAGUGUGGGAGAGGAGAGUGGAAUUCCAGGUGUAGGAGUGAAAUGCGGAGAGAUCUGGAGGAACAUCAGUGGCGAAGGCGACUAUCUGGCACAUAACUGACGCUGAGGAGCGAAAGCGUGGGUAGCAAACAGGAUUAGAUACCCGGGUAGUC